ACGUAGGGUGCGAGCGUUAAUCGGAAUUACUGGGCGUAAAGCGUGCGCGGGCGGAUUGUUAAGCAAGACGUGAAAUCCCCGGGCUUAACCUGGGAACUGCGUUUGUGACUGUAGGGCUUGAGUGCGGCAGAGGGGGGUGGAAUUCCACGUGUAGCAGUGAAAUGCGUAGAGAUGUGGAGGAACACCGAUGGCGAAGGCAGCCCCCUGGGUCGACACUGACGCUCAUGCACGAAAGCGUGGGGAGCAAACAG
rnacentral:rRNA from 1 species